CGGCCUUGACAUACUAAGAACUUUCCAGUGAUGGAUUGGUGCCUUCGGGAACUUAGAUACAGGUGCUGCAUGGCUGUCGUCAGCUCGUGUCGUGAGAUGUUGGGUUAAGUCCCGCAACGAGCGCAACCCUUUUCCUUAUUUGCCAGCGGGUCAUGCCGGGAACUUUAAGGAUACUGCCAGUGACAAACUGGAGGAAGGCGGGGACGACGUCAAGUCAUCAUGGCCCUUACGGCCAGGGCUACACACGUGCUACAAUGGUCGGUACAAAGGGUUGCUACCUCGCGAGAGGAUGCUAAUCUCAAAAAGCCGAUCGUAGUCCGGAUCGCAGUCUGCAACUCGACUGCGUGAAGUCGGAAUCGCUAGUAAUCGCGGAUCAGAAUGCCGCGGUGAAUACGUUCCCGGGCCUUGUACACACCGCCCGUCACACCAUGGGAGUUUGUUGCACCAGAAGUAGGUAGUCUAACCGCAAGGAGGACGCUUACCACGGUGUGGCCGAUGACUGGGGUGAAGUCGUAACAAGGUAGGCGUAGAUGA
rnacentral:rRNA from 1 species